GCGACGGAACUGCUGAAGCUGAAAUGAUAGCCUUUGGUGAGGUUGCUCGACGUAUUGUCGGUAAACCUGUCCAACAAGUCCUACGGACAUCAAGAUUCACAAACGACACACCACCUGACAUUGCAACCAUAGUAUCCUUAAAAUUCGCUCUUGCAAUCACCUUGACAGAGCAAAGUUAUUAUACUCCUCAAAAAUCCUAUCAAGUUAAUUCUGUUAUUACUGCUUAUGGCAGACAGCAUGCGCUUCCGCAUACAACUCAUAGCCAGUAUAAACAUGUAGGAACUUCCCAGAUCACAAGUCAUGCACUCACAUAUCCAACAUCAUCAACCACUCACCUAGCAUCACAAACAAUCGACUAUCCUAUGCAUCCUUAUACGACUCCACCCAAUCCUACCACACCAUCUGAAUCCACAAACACCUCACCAUCAGCAGAGGCAGAAAUUCAAACAAUACCCCUCAAAAAUAGGCCGACAGAUAUUACUCCUCCACCUACACUACAACAGGAUGAAACACCAUUGAAGAAACUUGGACUCACGCAUGAUGUUGCUUCAUCUAAACGCUCAGCUCUUCAAAAAAGGCUAUUCCAAGAUACAAUAGAUACUGCAAAGGCAAGCAUGCUUUAUCCACUUCACUGCAUAAUCACCUCUCCAUAUAAAUCAUCAUCCUAAAAGUUCAAUUAUACACAUAUACUUUCCUGUUUACCUAGGAGGACAUUACAGCCCAGAAAAAAGCCAAAAAUGACUCCCCUGCAACAGCAGCCAGUGCAGCACUCCACUUGACAACCCAGCAGCCUACUUCUCAGCAAGACACAGGUGGAUCCACAAAAAAGCCUGACAUCAAAGCACCUCACACUCAAAAAAGCAAAUGAUGAAGGCAACCAAAACAAUGGCGACAUUUUGAUCUUGCAACACUGCUUCUCUUUUGCCUCAACAAAGUGUCUGAUCUUUCCCUCCUUUUUUUUUUGGACCUUGCUUUUGGAAUUCUCAUACGCAGCCUCUCUGACGCGCCACCCAUAACUGAACAACAAAGGACCAGCUCCACCCUUUUUUUUUCUUGAAGUUUGCUUUUGGAACUGUGAUAGACACCUACUUAGCACGUCACCCAUAAUUUCAGCUACUAUCAGUGCCUUUCCUGUAACAUUAUAUGUACAUAUAUGCCCUGCUUAAACAAUGCAAACCAGGUUUAAUUUGUAGCUUU